rnacentral:lncRNA from 1 species
GCCCUGGCCGCUGUUCCCUAGUGCGAGCGUUCGAACCGCGGAAACAUUUGUUCAGCUGUCAAUCAAAGUAACGUGGGGUGGCGAGCCGCGGCGGCUGCUGUCGCUGCUGCACUGGCUGCAUCUUUAGAAGCAGGUUUCGGCGGCGAUGGCGGUGAGACUGCAGGCCGGUCCGAAGACGCCCUCCGAGGCUCAUCUCCCGUUCGACGCGGAGCCCAGGCCUGGCGACCGCGCGGGGGUGCGCACUAAUUAGGGCCCGAUGUCUCCGUAAAGAGACAAGCUCGGCCUUGUGCAACGCGCCGAAACCCCUGUUGAGACAAGAGAGGGAGGAUCGCGCUGAUCCCACUCCGUGCGGUUCACAUCCAUUUUACGCGCUGCUGGAGCCGGCAUAAUUUUCCGCGUGAGCGCGGACGCCGUCGGCCCGGUUUAGAGCCGCAGCCGGGAGGCGUGCACUGGGCCGGUCCCAGAGCUUCCCGGCCGGCAGACUCUUGACAUUCCCUUUCUUUAGAGGCACCAGUCAACUUACUCCGGGGUUGAAAGAGGGUCCGAGUGUGGACCGUCGGGCCUUGGGCUUGUGAUGGCCUACGGAAGAGGGUCAGAACCCGGGAGUGGCAGCCCGCCCGAGGCAGUUUUGAGACUUGGCGGGUGUUGGGAGCCUUAAGGCUGAGCUAAGGAACCUCUGACCCCUGGGCAAUCAAAAGAAUUCGGAAAAAGUCAAGCAGGAUUGUAGCCAAGGCUGCUGUGUUUGGGACAUUCAUUUCUGAGUCCCACCUUAACUCGAAGUGCAGGCUAAUACGGUGCUGUUGGUUCAACAAAUGUGGGAAAAACGUUUUUCCUAAUGAUAGCGCUUUCCACGACAGAGGAACCGGUAGCUUAAUGCCCAAUUCAAGGCGUUCUGUGGGCCUCACUAGUACUGGCCACUGAGGACACCGAGGCAAAGAAAGACUGCAGUAGUCUUGCUAAAAAUCCAGAACUGAGGCUCAUACAAUGCCUCCGUUCUGUAAAUUUAAUUUCCAAAAUAAGAGGAUGGAGGACUUGCCUCUGUCUCAUACCCAAUUAUUAAAAUGCGGCCAAUCCAGAAUAAAGGGGAUUCACAUAAAGAGGAUUUUGAACACGUGAGGGUUUUUUUUUUUAAGCUCAACAAUAAUUGCAUAUUAGGACUGCAUUUUUAAAGCUAUCAGUUAAGCAAAAUGGCUUUAUUUUGCCUGUUUGAAAAAAACUUGCUUCUUAGAAAUUUUGAAAAAUUUUAUACAUUUAUUUAGUGUGGGGGGGGCGGGGGGAUUUGAGUCUGUGCGUGUGUGUGUGUUUGUGUGUUCACAAGCCCUGGAGAUCAAGUGACAAGUGCAUGUACCUGUUGAGCUAUCUUGCUGGCUCCAAGUUAUUUCCUGAAGCUCGCAGAUGUACAGCAGUGUUC